AAGGAAGUGGGUGGGUGCAUACAUAAAGAGGAGCAGGUGGAAAGACAAAUAGCUUCAGCCUGAAAGCACUUAAAGAGGUGCCGACGAGUUUCAAAGGAACAGAACAUGGAGACGACAAAGGGAUUCUCUGCAAAGCACAUCUCUCAUGCUGUCUCAUCCCACUGGCCCGGUACUCAUCACUUUCCCUCCUGCUCUCCUCCCUCCAUUUAUCUAACCCUCCAUCCACAGAUGGAGAGAUGAGCCAGGCUUCUGACAUCACUGUUAUGCAAUAAGCUUCACACCAAAAAGACAACAAGGGAGAGAAAUUUAAAUAAAGAGCUAAAGAUGAAUUGUUCUGUUUAUAUGUUAAUGCAUGAGGUUGUUUUAUAUUCAAGCAGUGUGGUGAUUGUAGGA